rnacentral:lncRNA from 1 species
ACCAUCAACUGAAAGUGAAGGUGAAUCCCCUGGGACUGGAGUUACAGGAAGUCAUGGGUUGCUACAAACUUGUGCUGGGAAGCAAAUUCAGGACCUCUGGCAGAACAGCCAAUGAAACCACUGAGUCAUCUCUUCAGCCUUGCUCAUGACAAUAUACAACAGCGUCGUAUGUUUGUCUGCAGGGUUUAGCAAAGGAUGGAGAAGGUCACAUGGGCUCCUGUGAAGCAAACAGAUUUCUUCCAGCAUGUGACUCCACCAUGAGGAACUCCAUGAAAGAGAGAUGAGGUCUCCUGUCCUUCCAGUCUCCCGAGGUGAUGCCACGUUGACAGUCCAGAGGACUCCAGGCCCCACUCAUCACUCACUGACCCUAAAGACGGAUGGAAAAGAAAACAGCAUCUGAAAGGCCGCCCCCACCAGCAGGAAACCAUUAUUUUGUCAAUCCCAGAUCUGAGAAACAAGUGUAACACUGGAGACAGGCAGAUACAGUGCCAUUCAAGGCUAUUGUCACAGCCUCUGCUCUGUGUGUAUGAAAGAAACAAAGGGAGCUUGUGUACAAAUACAGGGACAAUGCCAUUGUGUUA